AGUUCUGGAUCUCGGCUCAGAUUGAACGCUGGCGGGAUGCUUUACACAUGCAAGUCGAACGGCAGCACGGACUUAUUCAGUGGCGAGUGGCGAACGGGCAGAGUAAUGUAUCGGAACGUGCCUAGUAGCGGGGGAUAACUACGCGAAAGCGUAGCUAAUACCGCAUACGCGCCCUUCGGGGAAAGCGGGGGUCUCGGGCCUCGCACUAUUAGAGCGGCCGAUACCGGAUUAGCUGUUGGUGGGGUAACGGUCAAUUAAGGCGACGAUCCGUAGCUGGUCAGGAGGACGACCAGCCACAUGGGACUGGAGACACGGCCCGACCCUACGGGAGGCAGCAGUGGGGAAUUUGGACGAAUUAGAAACCCCGAUCCAGCCAUCCCGCGUGUGCGAUGAAGGCCUUUCGGUUGUGGGAAGCACUUUUGGCAGGAAAGAAACGGCACGGAUAAUACUCCGUGCAACUGACGGUACCCGCAGAAUAAGCACCGGCUAACCAUGCCAGCAGCCGCGUAAUACGUAGGGUGCAAGCGUUAAUCGGAAUUACCGCUUUUAAGCGUGCGCAGGCGGUUCGGACAUGAUGUGAACCUGUGAGUUUGACCUGGAACUGUUUCUUAACCAUCAGUUAGAGGUCAGAGGGAGGUGGAAUUCCGCGUAGCAGUGAAAUGCGUAGAUAUGCGGAGGAACACCUGGGAUGGCGAAGGCAGCCUCCUGGGAUAACACUGACGCUCAUGCACGAAAGCGUGGGGAGCAAACAGGAUUAGAUACUCUGGUAGUCCACGCCCUAAACGAUGUCAAUCCAGCUGUUGGGGCCUUCGGGCUCCGGUAGCAGCUUAACGCGUGAAGUUGACCGCCUGGGGAGUAUGGUCGCAAGAUUUAAAAACUCAAAGGAAUUGACGGGGACCUGCACAAGCGGUGGAUGAUGUGGAUUAAAUUGAUGCAACGCGAAAACCUGGCCCGCUCUCGACAUGUCUGAAUCCCGAAGAGAUUUGGGAGGUCGCAGAGAAACUGAACACAGGUGCUGCAUGGCUGUCGUCGCCUUCCGUGUCGAGAUGUUGGGUUAAGUCUGCAACGAGCGCAACCUUGUCAAUAGUUGCUACGAAAGGGCACUCUAAUGAGAUCGCCGGUGACAAACCGGAGGAAGGUGGGGAUGACGUCAAGUCCUCAUGGCCUUUAUGGUAGGGCUUCACACGUCACAAUGGUCGGGACAGAGGGUCGUCAACCGCGAGGGGGAGCUAAUCCCAGAAACCCGAUCGUAGUCCGGAUCGCAGUCUGCAACUCGGGACUGCGUGGUCGGAAUCGCUAUAACUGCGGAUCAGCAUAAAAUGCGGUGAAUACGUUCCCGGGUCUUGUACACACCGCCCGUCACACCAUGGGAGUGGGUUUUACCAGAAGUAGUUAGCCUAACCGUAAGGAGGGCGAUUACCACGGUAGGAUUCAUGACUGGGGUGAAGUCGUAACAAGGUAA
rnacentral:rRNA from 1 species